UACGUAGGCAGCGAGCGUUGUUCGGAGUUACUGGGCGUAAAGGGUGUGUAGGCGGUUGUUUAAGUUUGGUGUGAAAUCUCCCGGCUCAACUGGGAGGGUGCGCCGAAUACUGAAUGACUUGGAGUGCGGGAGAGGUGAGUGGAAUUCCUGGUGUAGCGGUGAAAUGCGUAGAUAUCAGGAGGAACACCGGUGGUGUAGACGGCUCACUGGACCGUAGCUGACGCUGAGACACGAAAGCGUGGGUAGCAAACAGG
rnacentral:rRNA from 1 species